GAUGAACGCUGGCGGCGUGCUUAACACAUGCAAGUCGAACGAAGAUGCCGGAGUGCUUGCACUUUGGCAGACUGAGUGGCGGACGGGUGAGUAACGCGUGGGUAACCUGCCUUAUACAGGGGGAUAACAGUUGGAAACGACUGCUAAUACCGCAUAAGCGCACGGUAUCGCAUGAUACAGUGUGAAAAACUCCGGUGGUAUAAGAUGGACCCGCGUCUGAUUAGCUUGUUGGUGAGGUAACGGCCCACCAAGGCGACGAUCAGUAGCCGGCCUGAGAGGGUGAACGGCCACAUUGGGACUGAGAUACGGCCCAGACUCCUACGGGAGGCAGCAGUGGGGAAUAUUGGGCAAUGGGCGCAAGCCUGACCCAGCAACGCCGCGUGAAGGAAGAAGGCUUUCGGGUUGUAAACUUCUUUUGUCAGGGACGAGCAGAAGACGGUACCUGACGAAUAAGCCACGGCUAACUACGUG
rnacentral:rRNA from 1 species